UACGGUUAGGGGUAGGGGUAUGGGUAGGGUUAGGGUAGGGUUACGGUUAGGGUUAGGGUCAGGGUUAGGGUAGGGUUAGGGUUAGGGUUAGGGUUAGGGUUAGGGUUAGGGUUAGGUUAAAGUUAGGGUUAGGGUUAGGAUUUGGGUUAGAAGUAGGGUUACGGUUAGGGUUAGGGUUAGGGUUAGGGUUAGGGUUAGGUUUAGGGUAGGGUUAGGGUUGGGUUUAGGGUUAAGGUAGGAUUAGGGUUGUCGUUAAGGUUAGGGUUAGGGUUAGGUUUAGGAUUUGGGUUAGGAGUAGGGUUAGGGUUAGGGUUAGGGUUAGGGUUAGGGUUAGGUUUAGGAUUAGGGUUAUUGUUAGGGUUAGGUUUGGGUUUAGGGUAGGGUUAGGGUAGGGUUAGGGUUAGCUUUAGGGUAGGGUUAGGCUUGGGUUUAGGGUUAAGGUAGGUUUAGUGUUGGGGUUAGGUUUAGGGUUAGGGUUAGGUUUAGGAUUGGGUUAAGGGUAGGGUUAGGGUUAGGGUUAGGGUUAGGGUAGGGUUAGGGUUAGGGUUAGGGUAAUGUUAGGGUUAGGGUUAGAGUUAGGGUUAGGGUUAGGGUUAGGGUUAAGGUAAGGGUUAGGGUUUGGUUUAGGGUUAGGGUUAGGGUUACGGUUAGGUUUAGGGUUAGGGUUAGUGUUAGGGUUAGAGUAAGUGUUAGGGUAUGGGUUUGGGUUAGGGAUAGGAUUAGGGUUAGGAUUAGGGUAGGGUUACGUUUACGGUAGGGUUAGGGUUGGGUUUAGGGUUUAGGACCAUAUGGGUUUAGUUUAGGACCAUAUGAAAUGAUAGCUACAUUAGCGAACUGGACUGCCUGCAUGAGUAUACUCCCUGGGAUUCAACAAAAUCUAAAUUUUCACUUUAUUUCUUUGAUUACCAUUCACUCACUACUUCAAAAUCUCAAUUUUAAUUCUAUACAAAUUUUCAUUUUUCAUUGCCUUUUUCAAAAUGUUUAGUACUGUAUGUACUUUAUACUAUAUAUACUUAUAAUGGUUUAAUCCCUCUGUAACAGAUACAUUUUGGUUAGAAUUCACAAUGUUUUUUGAAGAUCUGUGCAGGUUAUUCGACAAAUUCAAGGGAAACUUACAGCACUUUACUUGUUAUUGGAACAGAUGGAUGUGUUUCGCCCAUUCAUCUUCUUCCAUGUCCUUCUAAAUUAUUUGUCAAUUUAUCAGACAAAUAAGAUGGUGAGACUAAUUUUUUAUAUCAUUUAAAGAUGAUGUUUAUGCAAUAUAAUAUAUUUUGCAUCUAUUAUCUGAACGUUUGUAUUUAUCAGUAAUAUCAGUGUGGCUCAUAAUUUGAGGAAAUUGAUCAGUCUCAUCCAUCCCUUGGCCAGGCUGGGCUGCUCCAGGAGGCAGAUGAUGUGGCAGGGUGAGCAGGCGGAAGUGUGAGCAAAAUUGUUUUAGAGGCAGAAUGUUCUUGUUUCACAGAAUUACAGAUAUGCAAUCCUGCAUUCAAGAUGGAAGGAAUGGGCCUAGAAUUUCAAAGAGAUAUGAUGCAAAGUGGACAAUGAGGGUCAUUGCAAAAAUUGUCCUUCUUUGGGGAACAAAACUUGCCUCCUGUUGAUUUCAAUGACAGUCCUGCUAUUGAUUUGUGCCUGCCCCAUCUAUCCAUUUUUCUGCUCCCCUGAUUUUUUUUUUUUUUUUUUUCACUUUUGCUCAGAUUAAUGACUUGCUUCAUUCCUUAACUUUAUCCUCUCUUCCCGAAAAGUGUUGUCACUUAAACUGGCUUAGCAUAUCUACUCUAUUUAUUCUAUAACACCCCCGAGUUUUACAUUGCAGUUGAAAAAUUCACUAUCUCUAUAACAACCUGGAAGAAGAAAUAGUUGCUUUAAACUUCUAAAGAAGUAAGAUCGCUUGUGAAGAAAUAAGAUCUCAAUGCUAUCAGUCCUCCAACUGAGAGGGUGACGAAUGGAUGUCACAAAAGGAGACAAAACACAAUCAUCUCGGAAAUGUAAGGGUUAAUGAAAGGUAAUAUGUCACUUCAUGGCAAUAAUAACACUUUUCUGAUCAUACAAAACAGGGACGGUCAGCAGUAUGCUAGUGUUGCAUUCAGGAUGGAGUAUUCCAGAUGUGGUCUCACAUCUGAGUGCCCAUAUCUAUGGGAGUGCAGACAGGGCUAGGCUCUGGGAGUUAUAUUCUCAUAUUCUGAAUCCAGCUGGCCUACCGUCUCUUUCAGUAGUUCUCUAAAAGUAUCGGACUUACCGUGCGAAUGAAAUGCCGUUUCUGCAGUGAGAUACAGCAAGAUGAGUAUUUCAUGGUCUCGGCUGCCAUCUAUUGUCACUUAUUGGUACUAACAAUUCUUGUUGGGAUUCUCUUCAUAACGGGAAACAGCACUUAUGUACUAUACUGUUGCAGGGACUUCAGAAGCUUGCUUCCUGUGACAAACCUAACUGCAGCUUUUCCAUCUUUGAGUAUGUACUGGGGAUUAUUGCCAAGCCCCAAGUAGGGGUAUGAAAGAACAACAAAGGAAUUCCAUGAAUUGUUAUGGGCUGUGGAUAUAUCCAGUUCUGCUUACUAAUUUAAAAAUAAAAAUAAAAUUAAAAAACAAAAAUUCUAUGCUUUGUGGAAAGCAGCAUCUUCUCUUGAAAUCUUAUCUGUCUUAGGAAAAAACACCUUUGUUUCUCAGCUUUGGUGCUGUCUUGUUCUUGAUAUGCUUUGUGAAUUAACAUGACAGUUUUCUAAUGACAGCUCUCUCCCACGAUCAUCCCAGCGAACAUCUGCUGCAUCAACACAGGAAUCUUCCUGAAUUUCAUUUCUCUAUGUGCAGAUUUCCAGAAGAGUGCAAUGGAACCAGCAACAGGUUUUGCAAGAAUGGGACUUAUUUAUUUCUCUGAUCCAUACUCCAAUAAUAUUAUUGUGUAAAUAAAUAUGAAGCUUGAAUUUUGCCAAGUUUUGAACUUUGAAUGGACUUUGGCCUGUUUAAAGAAAGAAUGUUCCUGAGCCUUUUCAGCAUCACCAAUCAUCCGGCUUGCCUGGGUGGCAUUAGCUGAAGAGUCAUUGUCUUGGGCUGAAGAUAACGUGUCCUUAGUAUACAUGAGUAACAAAGCUUCUUAGUAACGUAUGACUAAAACAUAAAAUGAGAAAGCAUAACACUAGUGGGAAUCUGGACCUUGCUUUUGUGAAGGGAAUGCAUCAGUGUCUGAUUCAAGGGAAGCAGUUGCAAUUUUGAAGGAGUUCUCCAGGUGUUUGCCAGAGGUUUUUGAUGAAAUAUUGCUCUGUCUCUGGGGCUAUAACCUUGUUUUUCCCUGUUUGUGUUAAAGGCAGAUUUACAAUUCGCAAUCAGUUAAUAUUGUUUGAUCCUUAAUUUCAGUUUUAUUUACUUUCUUGCCAGAGUAACCUGGCAUGUACAAGAAUUUAUGUCUUCCUACUUGUUUUCUCGGGCCGUAUUCAAUUAAUCCCAAAAAGUAAGCCAUUAUUGGUGUGUUUAUUGGGGAUUGGCUGCUUCUGUUGUUACAAAAUCAUCUACGGGCAGUAAGAUGCACCCGCGUGGAUAUCAUCCACGAAAGAUAAACUUCUUUAUCCUGCUCUCCUAGCUGUAAUUUAACCAGUGGAACUGCUAGGGUAGACUUCCCAAAUUCUCAUCCUUCAUUUAUGCAAGCAGAAAUUGUCCCCUCUUUCUCAGUAAUUUACGCAUUACUUUCAUUCCGAUGGGGAAGAGCUCUCUCUGGGCUCUUCCAGCCCCCCCUUCCCCAUUUCUCUCUGAGUGGAUCCCUGGAUCCUACGGCCCUACUCCAGUGCCGUGACACUAACAGCUGCUGUUAUUCCCAGUUUACCUCCUCCUCUCCAGAGGCUCCCAGUACCAACACUGGGAUUCUCUCUGCAGAGGCUAGUCUCACUUCCAGUGCCCUGCCCUCUCCUCUCACCUCCCCCUUUGCAAGUAAUGCUGUUUGCAGCAGAAGUCUCCGGCUGCAGCUCACUCUCUCACACCAAGUUCUGCUCGCGGGGAAACGGUGUGGGGGGUUGCUCUCACACCAGCACUGAUUAACUCACUUUCUCUUUAACCCUUUUUCCUUUGUCGCACCCUCAGUUACACUUCCACAUACCCUCCAUUCUACUUCUGUAUACCAGUAACAAUUACCUUUCUUAUACCACCAAAACAGUUUGUCUCAUUCCUUUCAAAAUCCACAAAUCAAACCGCACAAUUCUUCAACUUCCACAAACAUCCAGCACUUGGUCUCUCCUGAUUAGGUACUCAAUUAGAAAACUGGUCCCACUAUUCCCUUUAUGUUCCUAGUUUCUUAUUUAAUAUUCCUCCGGGCGCUCCUGCAACACCCUUCCAAUGUGACAACAUACACCUGAGAGGUGUUUUGUUCGUUUUUCUGUUUGUCUGGUUUGGUAUUUUUUCUGGUGUGAGAGCAACCUCUCCAGCACCGAAUAACUAACUAACUAACUAACACUUGAGGAGCAUACACAUACAUUAUGGAAUUUCGAGCGACCAUUCUUUGUAGUGUGGUUCUCUGUGGCUCCACUUCUGUGUUUUGUGAUGACAAGGGUAGAAGGGAAAAGCCUCUCUUAAAGAGGCAGCUGGAGAUUCGAGGAGCGACAGAUGCUGUGCUCUCAGGGAGCACUUUGGAAGAAGUCGGGAGAGAUCCUUUCUGGACUGCGCAGUAAAUAACCCCCUGCGGAGGAAAGG